CCUACGGGAGGCAGCAGUGAGGAAUAUUGGUCAAUGGUCGGGAGACUGAACCAGCCAAGCCGCGUGAGGGAUGAAGGUACAGAGUAUCGUAAACCUCUUUUGUCAGGGAACAAAGGCGGGGACGCGUCCCCGGAUGAGUGUACCUGAAGAAAAAGCAUCGGCUAACUCCGGGCCAGCAGCCGCGGUAAUACGGAGGAUGCGAGCGUUAUCCGGUUUUAUUGGGUUAAAGGGGUGCGCAGGCGGUCUGUUAAGUCAGCGGGCAAAGCCCGGGGCUCAACCCCGACCCGCCGUUGAAACUGGCAGUCUCGAGUUGGAGAGAAGUAUGCGGAAUGCGCGGUGUAGCGGUGAAAUGCAUAGAUAUCGCGCAGAACUCCGAUUGCGAAGGCAGCAUGCCGGCUCCACACUGACGCUGAGGCACGAAAGCGUGGGUAUCGAACAGGAUUAGAUACCCUUGUAGUC
rnacentral:rRNA from 1 species